GAUGAACGCUAGCGGCAGGCCUAACACAUGCAAGUCGAGGGGUAGAAGGAGCUUGCUCCUUUGAGACCGGCGCACGGGUGCGUAACGCGUAUGCAAUCUACCUUGUACAGGGGAAUAGCCCAGAGAAAUUUGGAUUAAUGCCCCAUAGUAUAUAACCUUCGCAUGUUGGUUAUAUUAAAGUUCCAACGGUACAAGAUGAGCAUGCGUCCCAUUAGUUAGUUGGUAAGGUAACGGCUUACCAAGACGAUGAUGGGUAGGGGUCCUGAGAGGGAGAUCCCCCACACGGGUACUGAGACACGGACCAGACUCCCACGGGAGGCAGCAGUGAGGAAUAUUGGUCAAUGGUCGCAAGACUGAACCAGCCAUGCCGCGUGCAGGAAGACGGUCCUAUGGAUUGUAAACUGCUUUUAGACAGGAAGAAACCCUCCCACGUGUGGGAGCUUGACGGUACUGUAGGAAUAAGGAUCGGCUAACUCCGUG
rnacentral:rRNA from 1 species